GAUGAACGCUAGCGGCAGGCCUAACACAUGCAAGUCGAGGGGCAGCACAGAAACAGCAAUGUUUUGGUGGCGACCGGCGGACGGGUGCGUAACGCGUAUGCAACCUACCUUUAACAGGGGGAUAACGGAGAGAAAUUUCCACUAAUACCCCAUAACAUCGAUCAAGGCAUCUUGAUUGGUUGAAAACUCCGGUGGUUAAAGAUGGGCAUGCGUUGUAUUAGGUAGUUGGCGAGGUAAUGGCUCACCAAGCCUACGAUACGUAGGGGGACUGAGAGGUUAGCCCCCCCCACUGGUACUGAGACACGGACCAGACUCCUACGGGAGGCAGCAGUGAGGAAUAUUGGUCAAUGGGGGCAACCUUGAACCAGCCAUGCCGCGUGCAGGAAGACGGCUCUAUGAGUUGUAAACUGCUUUUAAACAGGGAUAAAGCACAGUAUGUAUACUGUGUUGAAGGUACUGUAAGAAUAAGGAUCGGCUAACUCCGUGCCAGCCGCCGCCGUAA
rnacentral:rRNA from 1 species